UACGUAGGGCGCAAGCGUUGUCCGGAAUUAUUGGGCGUAAAGAGCUCGUAGGCGGCCAGUUGCGUCUGCUGUGAAAUCCCGGGGCUCAACCCCGGGCGUGCAGUGGAUACGGGCUGGCUAGAGGCCAGGCAGGGGAGAACGGAAUUCCCGGUGUAGCGGUGAAAUGCGCAGAUAUCGGGAGGAACACCGGUGGCGAAGGCGGUCUCUGGGCCUGACUGACGCUGAGGAGCGA
rnacentral:rRNA from 1 species